rnacentral:rRNA from 1 species
UACGAAGGGGGCUAGCGUUGCUCGGAAUCACUGGGCGUAAAGGGUGCGUAGGCGGGUCUUUAAGUCAGGGGUGAAAUCCUGGAGCUCAACUCCAGAACUGCCUUUGAUACUGAAGAUCUUGAGUUCGGGAGAGGUGAGUGGAACUGCGAGUGUAGAGGUGAAAUUCGUAGAUAUUCGCAAGAACACCAGUGGCGAAGGCGGCUCACUGGCCGAUACUGACGCUGAGGCACGAAAGCGUGGGGAGCAAACAGG